rnacentral:rRNA from 1 species
UACGAAGGGGGCUAGCGUUGCUCGGAAUCACUGGGCGUAAAGCGCACGUAGGCGGAUUGUUAAGUCAGGGGUGAAAUCCUGGAGCUCAACUCCAGAACUGCCUUUGAUACUGAAGAUCUUGAGUUCGGGAGAGGUGAGUGGAACUGCGAGUGUAGAGGUGAAAUUCGUAGAUAUUAGGAAGAACACCAGUGGCGAAGGCGGCUCACUGGCCCGGUACUGACGCUGAGGCGCGAAAGCGUGGGGAGCAAACAGG